CUAACUCCCAGCACCACAUUUCCAUCUGAAUGCAGCCACUCCAGCAGGGAACCACUGCCUUCCCUAAAGCUGGGCUGCAGUUCAGCCCACAAUCUGCUCACACCCAGACAAGGAGUCUGCAAGAAACCCGGGAUCUCUGGAAUAUGGAAUUCCACAUCUGCUCACUCAGCACCUCGGGCUCCUGCCAGCCAAGCCCACCCUGAGCAGGCAGCAGCGGCAGAUGAACGGGAGGGGAGGGUGGUGCAGUUUAUGACAAAGUUUCUGCAUUCAUCAGCCACGAGGGAGCUCUUUGGGGAAGUGCUGAACAGGAAAAUGCCACAUGGCCAUUGACAGAAUCCCAGUGCUGAGGAAAAUGCAAAUUCCUCUCUUGUGCAGGAAGAAUGCAGCAAUCUGAGGAUCUGAUGUUGGGUGGAAGGAAAAGGAGAAGAGGAGCAAAAAGGAAAGAUUCACAGAAGGAAAUGCUUUAAAUGUGCUUUACCUCAGCCAUGCAUGUACCUGGUGCCACCUCAAAAGUUUCUAUAUAAGAAGUCACCCAAUGAACAGCUCUCUCCUUGCCCUGUUCUGCCCUGCAUCUCUGCAGAUGGGCUUGAAGGGAACAGGGAAACUCAUCCUCAGCACUUCCUUCCCAACAUGAGGGAAAAAGGAGCCAAUGAUGAUGAGAGGGAUGAAGUAAAGCCAAUUCCAGGUGUCACCUGUGGCAUCAUUUGUCUGGAAACAGAAUAAAAGGAGGAGUGGGGAAGUGCCUGGGGCAAUUUUACAUUUAGGGUUUAAAUUUAGGGGCUGUUCUUCAGCUCUCAUCUGGUCAAUCAAACAGCUCUGGUUGCAGGAAGCAGACCCCAUCCAGGGAGGGCUCAAUGGGUCCCUUCCAGCUCAGCACAUUCCAUGGUUCUGUGAGGCUGGGAAUGCUGUCAGCAAGCCAAGGGGGGCUGGAGAGCCCAUGGGGGGGUGAGCUGGAGGAAGGAACAGAUGGGAGAAGGGAAAACCACAUAAACAUGCAAAGGGAGUGCAGCAGGUUCACUGCUGCCAAACGAUCGUUUAUCAUUUAUUUCUCCAUUUGAAGCCCAAACUUGGCCACAGAUCCACAAUUCCAUGCCAUGAUCAAAGCCCUUAAAAACGAAAUGUGUUGAAAUACAAUCAAUUACCCUCCCUUCCCUGAGCAUUUGCUGGGUUGCCUCCUGCUCAGGGCAGGGCAGGGCAGGGCCUGGCUCUGUUUGCUCUGCCUGGCUUACAAGGAUCCAGGACAAACUCCCCUUUGGAUAUGGUGACAAACACCAGGCAAAAGUGGUGACAAAGUGCUCCUGAGAAAGCAGAGCCUCCUUGGAUGUGCAGCACCUUUCCCAGCGCUCCCAGGUGUGAGAGAUGCGCAAUGCGAUGGUUGACUCUCACAAUUAAAAGGCAAAUAUCCUGUAUAUAUGUUAGAAGAAGUAUUAUAGAUUUAUAGUUAUUGUUUUAUAGAUUUAUAGUUAUGUUUUAUCACAAUUAAAAGGCAAAUAUCAUGUAUAUAUGUUUGGAGAAGUUUUAUAGAUUUAUAGUUAUGUUUUACCCCCCCUUGCAUUGUUAUCAGGGUUGCCUGGGUUUGGGACAUUCAGGCAGGGUUGGCUCGUUACUAUGGCAACAGCUGACCUCCAAAAAAGAUGUUG